GCGGGUCCCUGGCUAAGGCUCCUCCCCGACGAACCCCAUUCCUGCUUUCCCGCUCAAAUGUUGCAUUUUCUAAGACCUCCCUGGCCCGCCAUACGCCGAUCCUGAACCUACGAAAACCCAAGACUGCGGGCACGGUGGCUCAUGCCUGUAAUCCCAGCACUUUGGGAGGCCGAGGCGGGCAGAUCACGAGGUCAAGAAGUCGAGACCAGCCUUGCUAACAUGGCGAAACCCUGACUCUACUGAAAAUACAAAAAUUAGCUGGGCGUGAUGGCGUGCGCGCCUGUAGUCCCAGCUGCUCGGGAGGCUGAGGUAGGAGAAUCGCUUCAAUCCGGGAGGUGGAGGUUGCGGUAAGCAGAGAUUGCGCCACUGCACUCUAGCCUGGCGACAGAGACUCCUUCAAAAACAACAACAACAACAACAACAACAACAAAACAAAACCUCCCAAGACCCUAGUGGGCAGACACACAGCCAGCCAGACAUGGAGAGGAGCACAUUAGCAGAAGAAGACGCAAGUGGCUGGUCCUCGAGAGGACGUUGAGAGGAGCAUGCCAGCAGAAGAGCACACAACGACAGGCACCGACACACCACCGGCAGGCCAUGCACCAGCAGAAUGAUGCGGAGUUUGACGGGGCAGUCAGAGAAGAGCCUGGGCCGCCAAGGGGCCCGACUCCAGGGGAAAACCAUCUCCCUUCUGGCUCCCCCAUCUGCUGAGAGCUACUUCUACUCAAUAAAACCUUGCACUCAUUCUCCAAGCCCACGUGUAAUCCGAUUCUUCAGGUAAGCCAGGGCAAGAAACCCCAGGAUACAGAAAUCCUUCUGUCCUUGUGAUAAGAAAGGGGGUGUAAUUGAGCUAACACAAACCGCCUAUAGAUGGCAACCUAAAAGAGCAUCCUGUAACACACGCCCGCCCACUGGGGCUUCAGGAGCUGUAAAUAUUCACCCCUAGACACUGCUGUGCGAUCGGAGCCCCACAGCCUGCCCGCCUGUAUGCUCCCCUAGAGGUCUGAGCAGCAGGGCACUGAAGAAUCGAGCCACACCUCAUCACACACCCUGCGAGGGGGACAAGGGAGCUUUUCCCAUAUCAAGUAGAUUGCCCUGGUGCUGCAGAAGCAGGAAAAACAGGACCUGCCCAUACCCAAGAGCCCGGCAACUCUGGCUAGAGUGAGGCCUGAAAUUGUGUCCGGAAUUGGUGGGUUCUUGGUCUCACUGGCUUCCUCUCAAAAUCACGCUCAAGAGACGCCACAGUUAGAGGUUUAAGCAUGGUCAUAGCAGAAUCAAUGUGCUCACCCCAUCAUGAAAAAAAAAAUGUGUUAAUGAAUUGAUUACUACUUUGAGUGUGCCAUAUUUUAAAGACGAAGAGAAACUAAUCAAGUUAGUUUUUAUUUGGUCAGAGGCUUGUUUGUGCCUGCUUAUCUAAAGUUAUAAAGGCCCCAAAUAUGGCUCCGUGUUGCAGAGGGACUGUCUCUUCUUAUAUCGACAGAGCCCAUAUUCACAAUGUAUCACACUUACCUCGAUGUAUUGUCUGGAGUUUCCUAGGCUGUGUCCUUUGCCUGGAAUGCUCUCUCUUGCUGGCUGGCUUCUUCCCACCAGCUGUGGCCAGGGCUGCUCCUUAUUCCUUCGUCAAAACUCCGUCUGCUGGGUGUGGUGCCUCACACCUGUAAUCCCAGCACUUUGAGAGGCCAAGGUGGGAGUAUCGUUUGAGCCCAGGAGUUCAAGACAAGCCUGGACAACAGAGCAAGACCCUGUCUCUACCAAAGAAAAGAAAAGAAAAGAAAAGAAACAGCCACUUUCUCUUCCAUGAGCCAGUUUAUGUUUUCUUCACGGCAUUUGUUACAAAUCACAAAUGUGGAGGAAAAAUGAAGGCAAAGCAAAAUAACAGGCAAGUCUGAAAACAAAAGUGUUGCCAGUCACGCUAAGCCUCAGGCACGCAUUCUGAAUGAAGCUAAAGUUUAAAGUCCCCUCUGAUAGAUUUGUGACUUAAAUGUCCACACUAGCAAGUGUGUUUCUCACAUGGAGAAGUAGCACGAUUUUAUGUCAGGAAAGGGAUGAGAACAUGCUUCUUGAACACAUACAAUGCUGAAGACAUUUCCUGGAAAACCAUUGGCCUUUGCUUAGGACAGUUGCAUCACACAGAGAUGUUUGUGGUUCAGAUUUAUAAGAAACAUGGGAACUGAAGCCAAAGCACUACUUUUGCUCAGUAUAACCAGGUGCCAGAUCUAAAGUGUUAGGCAGGUUCCUAUAUGUAUGUUAGAAAAAAGUUGCCCAAGUUUUGGACAAUUCCUUUUCCAUCUCUCUUACAAGUCAACAAAUCGAAGCAAUAAACUAUUCUCUGAAGAAAACAAAUUUAUUUGGUUGAUUCAAACUUUUAAUGAGACUAUUACUCCCCUGUGUGCCUUUCCUUUCUCUGGUUCUAGAAAUACAUCUAGAAAGGGGGAAAAUGUUAAUAUAUUUUCUACUGACUUUAUAUCACAAAUGCUUAGCUUAGAGGGUGGACUCUGAGGAACAGUGUCCUUUCCAAAUAUUAUAAAACUUUGUGUUCAUUCUGGAAAAACAAACAAAAUUAAUCACAAUGAUUUCCUGCUUUGGAGCAAUGAGAAAUGGGAGGGAAACUUCACCUUUUCAUAGCUUUUGAUGUUUGCACCAUGUGAAUUACCCACCCCCAAAUUUAAAAUACGAAUUUUUGAAAAAGUGUUUACCUCUGAGAAGAGAAACUAGUAGUGAAGAAUGAGGAGCUGUAGAUUUUUAACGAUUCUGAUGUAUUUGCAUUUUUCCCAAUGUUCAUGAAUAAAUAAAUGUGCAUUCAUAAUUAAAAAGAAUAAACAACCUGGAAAAAACAAAAAAAGCUCUGCGUUCACUGAUCUCUAAAUAAGAAAAGAUAAGACUUGUAGUGUGGCCUUGUACUUGUACAUCUUUUCCAUGUGCCAAAGAGCUACCCCAUGGUCAAGCCAAGUGGUGAUUAUGUAGCUUUCUCUGAACAGACAUAAUAGGGCUACACAUUCACUGUGAAAAAGCUGCAGACAGAUGACACCAGUCAACAGAACACCCUACACAGAAACUGUAAAACCAUUUUAAC
rnacentral:lncRNA from 10 species